AUGACUUUCGCCGAUAAUCCGUCUGCUCGUACUCGACCGUUCACCGGAACUUUGUGUGACCUGAGGAAAAAAGUCGCCAUUUCCAGCAAAAACAAUGGCCUGCUGUCGCCAGGUCGCAACAAAAGUUUUGGCCGGUCCCAUAAGAAAAAUAGUUCCAGCAAAAAAAGAUUGUUGUUGCGGUCACAGGUUUUGGUCUGCCAUGUCCCCAUAACAGAGCAAGAUGAAGAUAAAGAGCUUUAUAAAUUCGCUGAUGGCGUUCAUCCAGAGACACCUGUUGAUAAUCAGUGGCUGAAGGAGAAGCUCUUGGAAGACCCUGAGAUACCUUUCCCUGGAGAUUCCUGA
rnacentral:rRNA from 1 species